rnacentral:lncRNA from 1 species
AUUAGUAUUAGUCAUUCACUUCUACUUUACAUUUUUUCUUUCAUAGUUAUUUUUUACUUUAUUUUUUUUCUUUGCAUAGGUGAGAAUUCAUUGCUUAUCACCGGUAGUGACACGGUCAAAGCAAAUCAAAACUCUCAUCAGGACUCGCGCUCAAUUACAGAAGAAGGAGAGAUUGAUGAAUGUAUUCGAGCUUUAUUUGGAAGUGAAGGAGGAUCUAGGUACUCAGAAUCUUCACAUUUAGAAUCAUGUCAUAGUUACACUUCCAAGGUUACUGAACCAA